rnacentral:rRNA from 1 species
GAGACCCACGCCAACAGUUGCCAGCAUGUUCUCCGGGAUGGUGGGGACACUGUUGGGACCGCCUCUGCUAAAGAGGAGGAAGGAAUGGGCAACGGUAGGUCAGCAUGCCCCGAAUUAUCCGGGCUACACGCGGGCUACAAUGGGCAGGACAAUGGGUUUCGACACCGAAAGGUGAAGGCAAUCUCUUAAACCUGCUCGUAGUUCGGAUUGCGGGUUGCAACUCGCCCGCAUGAAGCUGGAAUCUGUAGUAAUCGCGUCUCAAAAUGGCGCGGUGAAUAU